rnacentral:rRNA from 1 species
GGCUCUUGGUGAUCAUGAUAACUUAACGAAUCGCAUGGCCUUGCGCGGGAAUGGUUCAUUCAAAUUUCUGCCCUAUCAACUUUCGAUGGUAGGAUAGUGGCCUACCAUGGUAUCAACGGGUAACGGGGAAUUAGGGUUCUAUUCCGGAGAGGGAGCCUGAGAAACGGCUACCACAUCCAAGGAAGGCAGCAGGCGCGCAAAUUACCCAAUCCCGACACGGGGAGGUAGUGACAAUAAAUACUGAUACAGGGCUCUUUUGGGUCUUGUAAUUGGAAUGAGUACAAUUUAAAUCCCUUAACGAGGAACAAUUGGAGGGCAAGUCUGGUGCCAGCAGCCGCGGUAAUUCCAGCUCCAAUAGCGUAUAUUAAAGUUGUUGGCAGUUAAAAAGCUCGUAGUUGAACCUUGGGCCUGGCUGGCCGGUCCGGCUCACCGCGUGGCACUGGUCCGGCCGGGCCUUUCCUUCUGGGGAGCCGCAUGCCCUUCACUGGGUGUGUCGGGGAACCAGGACUUUUACUUUGAAAAAAUUAGAGUGUUCAAAGCAGGCCUUUGCUCGGAUACAUUAGCAUGGAAUAAUAGAAUAGGACGUGGGGUCCCUAUUUUGUUGGUUUCUAGGACCGCGUAAUGGAUUAAUAGGGAUAGUCGGGGGGCAUCA